rnacentral:rRNA from 1 species
GAUGAACGCUAGCGGCAGGCCUAACACAUGCAAGUCGAGGGGUAACUAGAGUGAUAGCAAUAUUACUUUGGCUAGACCGGCGCACGGGUGCGUAACACGUAUGCAACCUACCUUAUACUGGGGAAUAACUUCGAGAAAUCGGCGCUAAUACCCCAUAACAUUGCGAAGAGGCAUCUCUUUGCAAUUAAAGCUCCGGCGGUAUAAGAUGGGCAUGCGUCCAAUUAGCUAGUUGGUGAGGUAACGGCUCACCAAGGCUACGAUUGGUAGGGGUUCUGGAAGAAUGACCCCCCACACUGGUACGGAGACACGGACCAGACUCCGACGGGAGGCAGCAGUGAGGAAUAUUGCGCAAUGGACGAAAGUCUGACGCAGCCAUGCCGCGUGCAGGAUGACGGCCCUAUGGGUUGUAAACUGCUUUUGUACGGGAAUAAACCCUUCUACGUGUAGGAGGCUGAAGGUACCGUAAGAAUAGGCACCGGCUAACUCCGUGCCAGCAGCCGCCGUAACAC